AUCGCUUCUCGGCCUUUUGGCUAAGAUCAAGUGUAGUAUCUGUUCUUAUCAGUUUAAAAUAUUAUCUAUCUGCUGCAAAGCAAGCUGUCUAGAAUGAUAUAACUAAGGUUAUCUAUAAAAUAAUGAGGAGUUUCAAAAUAAAAUAUUU
rnacentral:snRNA from 1 species